rnacentral:rRNA from 1 species
GGUUAAGCGACUAAGCGUACACGGUGGAUGCCCUGGCAGUCAGAGGCGAUGAAGGACGUGCUAAUCUGCGAAAAGCGUCGGUAAGGUGAUAUGAACCGUUAUAACCGGCGAUGUCCGAAUGGGGAAACCCAGUGCAAUUCGUUGCACUAUCGUUAACUGAAUACAUAGGUUAACGAGGCGAACCGGGGGAACUGAAACAUCUAAGUACCCCGAGGAAAAGAAAUCAACCGAGAUUCCCCCAGUAGCGGCGAGCGAACGGGGAGCAGCCCAGAGUCUGAAUCAGCUUGUGUGUUAGUGGAACGGUCUGGAAAGUCCGACGGUACAGGGUGAUAGUCCCGUACACCAAAAUGCACAGGCUGUGAACUCGAAGAGUAGGGCGGGACACGUGGUAUCCUGUCUGAAUAUGGGGGGACCAUCCUCCAAGGCUAAAUACUCCUGACUGACCGAUAGUGAACCAGUACCGUGAGGGAAAGGCGAAAAGAACCCCGGCGAGGGGAGUGAAAAAGAACCUGAAACCGUGUACGUACAAGCAGUGGGAGCACCUUCGGGUGUGACUGCGUACCUUUUGUAUAAUGGGUCAGCGACUUAUAUUCUGUAGCAAGGUUAACCGUAUAGGGGAGCCGCAGGGAAACCGAGUCUUAACUGGGCGUUAAGUUGCAGGGUAUAGACCCGAAACCCGGUGAUCUAGCCAUGGGCAGGUUGAAGGUUGGGUAACACUAACUGGAGGACCGAACCGACUAAUGUUGAAAAAUUAGCGGAUGACUUGUGGCUGGGGGUGAAAGGCCAAUCAAACCGGGAGAUAGCUGGUUCUCCCCGAAAGCUAUUUAGGUAGCGCCUCGUGAACUCAUCUUCGGGGGUAGAGCACUGUUUCGGCUAGGGGGUCAUCCCGACUUACCAACCCGAUGCAAACUACGAAUACCGAAGAAUGUUAUCACGGGAGACACACGGCGGGUGCUAACGUCCGUCGUGAAGAGGGAAACAACCCAGACCGCCAGCUAAGGUCCCAAAGUCAUGGUUAAGUGGGAAACGAUGUGGGAAGGCACAGACAGCCAGGAUGUUGGCUUAGAAGCAGCCAUCAUUUAAAGAAAGCGUAAUAGCUCACUGGUCGAGUCGGCCUGCGCGGAAGAUGUAACGGGGCUAAACCAUGCACCGAAGCUGCGGCAGCGACACUAUGUGUUGUUGGGUAGGGGAGCGUUCUGUAAGCCUGCGAAGGUGUGCUGUGAGGCAUGCUGGAGGUAUCAGAAGUGCGAAUGCUGACAUAAGUAACGAUAAAGCGGGUGAAAAGCCCGCUCGCCGGAAGACCAAGGGUUCCUGUCCAACGUUAAUCGGGGCAGGGUGAGUCGACCCCUAAGGCGAGGCCGAAAGGCGUAGUCGAUGGGAAACAGGUUAAUAUUCCUGUACUUGGUGUUACUGCGAAGGGGGGGGACGGAGAAGGCUAUGUUAGCCGGGCGACGGUUGUCCCGGUUUAAGCAUGUAGGCUGGUUAUCCAGGCAAAUCCGGAUAAUCAAGGCUGAGGUGUGAUGACGAGGCACUACGGUGCUGAAGUAACAAAUGCCCUGCUUCCAGGAAAAGCCUCUAAGCAUCAGGUAACAUCAAAUCGUACCCCAAACCGACACAGGUGGUCAGGUAGAGAAUACCAAGGCGCUUGAGAGAACUCGGGUGAAGGAACUAGGCAAAAUGGUGCCGUAACUUCGGGAGAAGGCACGCUGGUGUGUAGGUGAAGCCCCUGCGGGUGGAGCUGAGACCAGUCGAAGAUACCAGCUGGCUGCAACUGUUUAUUAAAAACACAGCACUGUGCAAACACGAAAGUGGACGUAUACGGUGUGACGCCUGCCCGGUGCCGGAAGGUUAAUUGAUGGGGUUAUCCGUAAGGAGAAGCUCUUGAUCGAAGCCCCGGUAAACGGCGGCCGUAACUAUAACGGUCCUAAGGUAGCGAAAUUCCUUGUCGGGUAAGUUCCGACCUGCACGAAUGGCGUAAUGAUGGCCAGGCUGUCUCCACCCGAGACUCAGUGAAAUUGAACUCGCUGUGAAGAUGCAGUGUACCCGCGGCAAGACGGAAAGACCCCGUGAACCUUUACUAUAGCUUGACACUGAACAUUGAGCCUUGAUGUGUAGGAUAGGUGGGAGGCUUUGAAGCGUGGACGCCAGUCUGCGUGGAGCCAACCUUGAAAUACCACCCUUUAAUGUUUGAUGUUCUAACGUUGGCCCCUGACCGGGGUUGCGGACAGUGUCUGGUGGGUAGUUUGACUGGGGCGGUCUCCUCCCAAAGCGUAACGGAGGAGCACGAAGGUUAGCUAAUCCUGGUCGGACAUCAGGAGGUUAGUGCAAUGGCAUAAGCUAGCUUGACUGCGAGCGUGACGGCGCGAGCAGGUGCGAAAGCAGGUCAUAGUGAUCCGGUGGUUCUGAAUGGAAGGGCCAUCGCUCAACGGAUAAAAGGUACUCCGGGGAUAACAGGCUGAUACCGCCCAAGAGUUCAUAUCGACGGCGGUGUUUGGCACCUCGAUGUCGGCUCAUCACAUCCUGGGGCUGAAGUAGGUCCCAAGGGUAUGGCUGUUCGCCAUUUAAAGUGGUACGCGAGCUGGGUUUAGAACGUCGUGAGACAGUUCGGUCCCUAUCUGCCGUGGGCGCUGGAGAAUUGAGGGGGGCUGCUCCUAGUACGAGAGGACCGGAGUGGACGCAUCACUGGUGUUCGGGUUGUCAUGCCAAUGGCACUGCCCGGUAGCUAAAUGCGGAAGAGAUAAGUGCUGAAAGCAUCUAAGCACGAAACUUGCCCCGAGAUGAGUUCUCCCUGAGACUUUAAGUCUCCUGAAGGAACGUUGAAGACGACGACGUUGAUAGGCCGGGUGUGUAAGCGCAGCGAUGCGUUGAGCUAACCGGUACUAAUGAACCGUGAGGCUUAACCUU